rnacentral:rRNA from 1 species
AGAGUUUGAUCAUGGCUCAGAACGAACGCUGGCGGCGUGGAUAAGACAUGCAAGUCGAACGGGGCGGCAGCAAUGCCGUUCAGUGGCGGACGGGUGCGUAACACGUGAACAAUCUGCCCGGAAGAUGGGGAUAGCCCAGGGAAACUUGGAUUAAUACCCAGUGUGGCGCAGGCUGGCAUCAGCCUGCUGCCGAAGGUGCUGCAAGGUGCCGCUUCCGGAUGAGUUCGCGGCCUAUCAGCUAGUUGGCGGGGUAACGGCCCACCAAGGCGACGACGGGUAGCUGGUCUGAGAGGAUGACCAGCCACACUGGAACUGAGACACGGUCCAGACACCUACGGGUGGCAGCAGUCGAGGAUCAUUCACAAUGGGCGAAAGCCUGAUGGUGUGACGCCGCGUGGAGGAUGAAGGUCUUCGGAUUGUAAACUCCUGUCAAGUGAGAGUAAAGCCGGGCAUUAACUGUGUGCCGGUGUGAGAGUAUCACUAGAGGAAGGGACGGCUAACUUCGUGCCAGCAGCCGCGGUAAUACGAAGGUCCCAAGCGUUGUUCGGAAUCACUGGGCGUAAAGGGUGCGUAGGCGGCACGGUAAGUCAGAUGUGAAAGCCCGGGGCUCAACCCCGGAACUGCAUCCGAUACUGCCGUGCUCGAGGACUGGAGAGGAGUCUGGAAUUCACAGUGGAGCAGUGAAAUGCGUAGAUAUUGUGAGGAACACUAGCGGCGAAGGCGAGACUCUGGACAGAUCCUGACGCUGAGGCACGAAGGCCAGGGGAGCAAACGGGAUUAGAUACCCCGGUAGUCCUGGCAGUAAACGGUGCACGCUUGGUGUGGGGGGAUUUGACCCCUCCCGUGCCG